rnacentral:rRNA from 1 species
CCUACGGGAGGCAGCAGUAGGGAAUCUUCCACAAUGGACGAAAGUCUGAUGGAGCAACGCCGCGUGAGUGAAGAAGGGUUUCGGCUCGUAAAGCUUUGUUGGUCGUGAAGAAAGAUAGAGGUAGUCACUGGCCUUUAUUUGACGGUAAUUACUUAGAAAGUCACGGCUAACUUCGUGCCAGCAGCUGCGGUAAUACGUAGGUGGGAAGCGUUGUCCGGUUUUAUUGUGCGUAAAGGGAGUGCAGGCGGUUCAAUAAGUCUGAUGUGAAAGCCUUCGGCCCAACCGGAGAAUUGCAUCAGAAACUGUUGAGCUUGAGUGCAGGAGAGGAGAGUGGAACGCCAGGUGUAGCGGUGAAAUGCGUAGAUAUAUGGAAGAACACCAGUGGCGAAGGCAGCUCACUGGUCUGCAACUGACGCUGAGGCUCGAAAGCAUGGGUAGCGAACAGGAUUAGAUACCCCUGUAGUC